CCGACCUCAGAUCAGGCGGGACUACCCGCCGGAUUUAAGCAUAUUAAUAAGCGGAGGAAAAGAAAACAACCGUGAUUCCCC
rnacentral:rRNA from 1 species